UACAGAGGUCCCAAGCGUUGUUCGGAUUCAUUGGGCGUAAAGCGCGCGUAGGCGGCUUGGCAAGUCGGAUGUGAAAUCCCUCGGCUCAACCAAGGAAGUGCAUCCGAAACUGCUGAGCUUGAGUACUUAAGAGGAUCGCGGAAUUCCCGGUGUAGAGGUGAAAUUCGUAGAUAUCGGGAGGAACACCAGUGGCGAAGGCGGCGAUCUGGGAAGAUACUGACGCUGAGGUGCGAAAGCGUGGGGAGCAGACAGG
rnacentral:rRNA from 1 species